GCCCGGGUAGCUCACUCGGUAGAACGUUAGGCUUUUAACCUAACGGUGCAGGGCUCCAGCCCCUGUUCGUGCG